rnacentral:misc_RNA from 1 species
AAGUCGUAACAAGGUUUCCGUAGGUGAACCUGCGGAAGGAUCAUUAACACGUAUCCACGUAUCAACCAACUGUGAACUUGUUCUCGUUCAGCGCCCCUGCAUCGAUCUGCUGCUGCAUGCCGAGGAUGAAUUGACCUGGAAGCGAUUCCGCGACAAUUGUACUAACUCGUGCACCAGUGACUGACGUCAGGCCAACCCUUUCGACUUCAGCGCGCUUCAGCCGCCGAGUCGAAUAUCCACACACACACAUUUCACCCCCUUUUUGCUAGUUGACUUUUAUAUGUUGUCUGAUUCAUCUUCAUUGGUGAGCCAGUCACACGUUUCUUACUUGAACGUUAAAAUUACAACUCUUAGCAAUGGAUAUCUUGGUUCUC